GAUGAACGCUGGCGGCGUGCUUAACACAUGCAAGUCGAACGGGAAAUAUUUUAUUGAUACUUCGGUGGAUUUAAUUUAUUUCUAGUGGCGGACGGGUGAGUAACGCGUGGGUAACCUGCCUUAUACCGGGGGAUAACAGCCAGAAAUGGCUGCUAAUACCGCAUAAGCGCACAGAACCGCAUGGUUCCGUGUGAAAAACUCCGGUGGUAUAAGAUGGACCCGCGUUGGAUUAGCUAGUUGGCAGGGCAGCGGCCUACCAAGGCGACAAUCCAUAGCCGGCCUGAGAGGGUGAACGGCCACAUUGGGACUGAGACACGGCCCGGACUCCUACGGGAGGCAGCAGUGGGGAAUAUUGCACAAUGGGGGAAACCCUGAUGCAGCGACGCCGCGUGAAGGAAGAAGUAUCUCGGUAUGUAAACUUCUAUCAGCAGGGAAGAUAAUGACGG
rnacentral:rRNA from 1 species